rnacentral:rRNA from 1 species
GAGAGCCUAGUAAACUGGCGAACGGGUGAGUAACACGUAGGUAACCUGCCCUUGGGAUGGGGAUAACACUGCUAACGCGGUGCUAAUACCGAAUAAUGCAGCGGACCCGCAUGGGUAUUGUUGUUAAAGAUGACCUCUGCUUGCAAGUUAUCGCCUAAGGAUGGACCUGCGUCCCAUUAGCUAGUUGGUGAGGUAACGGCUCACCAAGGCGACGAUGGGUAGCCGGCCUGAGAGGGUGUCCGGCCACACUGGGACUGAGAUACGGCCCAGACUCCUACGGGAGGCAGCAGUGAGGAAUAUUGCGCAAUGGCCGAAAGGCUGACGCAGCAACGCCGCGUGAGGGAUGAAGCUCCUAGGAGUGUAAACCUCUGUUAGAAGGGACGAAUAAGCGAAUAAUGAAUAAGUAUUCGCUCUGACGGUACCUUCAGAGAAAGCCCCGGCUAACUCCGUGCCAGCAGCCGCGGUAACACGGGGGGGGCGAGCGUUGUCCGGAAUCAUUGGGCGUAAAGGGCGCGUAGGCGGGACAGUAUGUCUAGGGUGAAAGCUUGCGGCUUAACCGUAAGUUUGCCUUGGAAACUGCUGUUCUUGAGUUCGGAAGAGGGAAGUGGAAUUCCUGGUGUAGCGGUGAAAUGCGUAGAUAUCAGGAAGAACACCGGUAGCGAAGGCGGCUUCCUGGUCCGAUACUGACGCUGAGGCGCGAAAGCGUGGGGAGCAAACAGGAUUAGAUACCCUGGUAGUCCACGCUGUAAACGAUGGGUACUAGGUGUUGGCUCUUUUAGGGUCAGCGCCGAAGCUAACGCAUUAAGUGUGCCGCCUGGGAAGUACGGCCGCAGGGUUGAAACUCAAAGGAAUUGACGGGGGCCCGCACAAGCGGUGGAGUAUGUGGUUCAAUUCGACGCAACGCGAAAAACCUUACCUGGGCUUGACAUCUGGGGGAAUCCCC